rnacentral:lncRNA from 1 species
CUUCUAAAGUCCACAAACUUAACCAUUUUCGAGCAUCUAAGUGUCAAAAUAAAACCACAUUUCAAAUCAAAAAUCUCUUUUAAAGUCCCUAAACCUAACACCUUUGAACCAAGUGUUAAAACAAAACCACAUUCCAAAACAAAAAUCCCUUCAAAAGUCCCUAAACUAUUUUCAACCAACCAAGUAACCUAACAAAACCACAUUCCAAAACAAAAUACCCCUCUAAAGUCCCUAAACUUAACCAUUUUCGAGCAUCUCAGUGUUAAAACAAAACCACAUUACCAAAAAAAAAAUCCCUUCUAAAGUCCGUAAGCUUAACCAUUUUCGAGCAUCUAAGUGUCAAAAUAAAAUCACAUUCCAAAACAAAAAUCUGUUUUAAAGUCCGUAAACCUAAAACUUUCUAUCCAAGUGUCAAAACAAAGCCACAUUCCAAAACAAAAAUCCCUUCUAAAGUCCCUAAACUUAACCAUUUUCAACCAACCAAGUCGCCUAACAAAACCACAAUCCAAAACAUAAUCCUCUUCUAAAGUCCCUAAACUUAACCAUUUUCGAGCAUCUAAGUGUCAAAACAAAACCACAUUCCAAAACAAAAAUUCAUUUUAAAGUCCCUAAACUUAACCAUUUUCAACCAACCAAGUCACCUAACAAAACCACAUUCCAAAACAAAAUCUCCUUCUAAAGUCCCUUAACUAUUUUCGAGCAUCUAAGUGUCAAAACAAAACCACAUUCCAAAACAAAAAUCCCUUCUAAAGUCCACAAACUUAACCAUUUUCGAGCAUUUAAGUGUCAAAAUAAAACCACAUUCCAAAAUAAAAAUCUAUUUUAAAGUCCCUAAACUUAACUAUUUUCGGACAAGUAAGUGUCAAAACAAAACAACAUUCCAAAACAAAAAUCCCUUCUAUAGUCCACAAACUUAACCAUUUUCGAGCAUCUAAGUGUCAAAACAAAACCACAUUCCAAAAUAAAAAUCCAUUUUAAAGUCCCUAAACUUAACCAUUUUCAACCAACCAAGUCACCUAACCAAACCACAUUCCAAAACAAAAAUCACUUCUAAAGUCCGUAAACUUAACCAUUUUCGAGAAUCAAAGUGUCAAAACAAAACCACAUUCAAAAAUAAAAAUCCCUUUUAAAGUCCCUAAACUUAACCAUUUCCAACCAACCAAGUCACCUAACAAAACCACAUUCCAAAAUAAAAAUCUCUUCUAAAGUUCUUAAACUUAACCAUUUUCGAGCAUCUAAGCGUCAAAAUAAAACCACAUUCCAAAACAAAAAUCCCUUUUAAAGUCCCUUAACUUAACCAUUUUCAACCAACCAAGUCACCCAACAAAACCACAUUCCAAAAUAAAAAUCUCCUCUAAAGUCCAUAAACUUAACCAUUUCCGAGCAUCUAAGUGUCAAAACAAAACCACAUUCCAAAACAAAAAUCCCUUCUAAAGUUCACAAAUUGAACCAUUUUCGAGCAUCUAAGUGUCAAAACGAAACAACAUUCCAUAUCAAAAAUCUCUUUUAUAGACCCUAAACCUAACACUUUUUAACCAAGUGUCAAAACAAAACCACAUUCCAAAACAAAAAUCCCUUCUAAAGUCCCUAAACUUAACAAUUUUCAACCAACCAAGUCACCUAACAAAACCACAUUCCAAAACAAAAUACCCUUCAAAAGUCCCUAAACUUAACCAUUUUGGAGCAUCUCUGUGUCAAAACAAAAUUUCAUUACAAAAAAAAAUCCCUUCUAAAGUCCGUAAACUUAACCAUUUUCGAGCAUCUAAGUGUCAAAAUAAAAUCACAUUUCAGAACAAAAAUCUCUUUUAAAGUCUCUAAACCUAACACUUUUUAUCCAAGUGUCAAAACAAAACCACAUUCCAAAACAAAAAUCCCUUCUAAAGUCCCUAAACUUAACCAUUUUCAACCAACCAAGUCACCUAACAAAACCCUAUUCCAAAACAUAAUCCCCUUCUAAAGUCCCUAAACUUAACCAUUUUCGAGCAUCUAAGUGUCAAAACAAAACCACAUUCCAAAACAAAAAAUUAUUUUAAAGUCCCUAAACUUAACCAUUUUCAACCAACCAAGUCACCUAACAAAACCCUAUUCCAAAACAUAAUCCCCUUCUAAAGUCCCUAAACUUAACCAUUUUCGAGCAUCUAAGUGUCAAAACAAAACCACAUUCCAAAAAGAAAUCCCUUCUAAAGUCCGUACACUUAACCAUUAUCGAGCAUCCAAGUGUCAAAACAAAAUCACAUUCCAAAACAAAAAUCUCUUUUAAAGUCCCUAAACCUAACACUUUUUUUCCAAGUAUCAUAACAAAAGCACAUUUCCAAACAAAAAUCCCUUCUAAAGUCCCUAAACUUAACCAUUUUCAACCAACCAAGUCACCAAACAAAACCACAUUCCAAAACAUAAUGCCUUUCUAAAGUCCCUAAACUUAACCAUUUUCGAGCAUCUAAGUGUCAAAAGAAAAUCACAUUCCAAAACAAAAAUCCAUUUUAAAAUUCCUAAACUUAACCAUUUUCUACCAACCAAGUCACCUAACAAAACCACAUUCCAAAACAAAAUCUCCUUCUAAAGUCCCUAAACUUAACCAUUUUCGAGCAUCUAUGUGUCAAAACAAAACCACAUUCUAAAACCAAAAUCCAUUUUAAAGUUCCUAAACUUAACCAUUUUCAACCGACCAAGUCACCUAACAAAAUCACAUUCCAAAACAAAAUCCCCUUCUAAAAUCCCUAAACUUAACCAUUUUCGAGCAUCUAAGUAUCAAAACAAAACCACAUUCCAAAACAAAAAUCCAUUUUAAAAUCCCUAAACUUAACUAUUUUCAACCAACUAAGUCGCCUAACAAAACCACAUUACAAAACAAAAUCCCCUUCUAAAGUCCCUAAACUUAACCAUUUUCAAGCAUCUAAGUGUCAAAACGAAACCACAUUCCGAAAUAAAAAUCCAUUUUAAAGUCCCCUAAACUUAACCAUUUUCAAUCAACCACGUCACCUAACAAAACCACAUUCCAAAACAAAAUCCCCUUCUAAAGUCCCUAAACUUAACCAUUUUCGAGCAUCUAAGUGUCAAAACAAAAUCACAUUCCAAAACAAAAAUCCCUUUUAAAGUCCCUAAACUUAACCAUUUUCAACCAACCAAGUCACCUAAAAAAACCACAUUCCAAAAUAAAAAUCUCUUUUAAAGUUCCUAAACUUAAUCAUUUUUGAGCAUCUAAGUGUCAAAACAAAACCACAUUAUAUUCUAAAACAAAAAUCCCUUAUAAAGUCCCUAAACUUAACCAUUCUCAACCAAUCAAGUCAC